rnacentral:rRNA from 1 species
CACGUAGGGCGCGAGCGUUGUCCGGAAUUAUUGGGCGUAAAGAGCUCGUAGGCGGCCUGUUGCGUCCGCUGUGAAAGCCCCGGGGCUUAACCCCGGGUCGGCAGUGGAUACGGGCAGGCUAGAGGUAGGUAGGGGAGAAUGGAAUUCCCGGUGUAGCGGUGAAAUGCGCAGAUAUCGGGGAGAACGACGGUGCGAAGGCGGUUGCCUGGAGCUUUGCUGACGCUGAGGCGCGAAAGCGUGGGGAGCGAUCCGG